UAACCUUUAACUGACGACCUAUACGUCUCACAGACGUCAUUACUUUUAUUUUGAACUUAACUUUAAAACUACGCGACUCUAGGUGCUCCCCCUCCCGCUACCUUCCCCGUUCCGCGUUGCUAGCCGGCAGUCGACACCACGAGCCCGGCGAGUGCAUAUGUGACUCUAGGGAAGCUAUCGCCGUCUGGGAGACAAUGCCUAGAAGGAAGCAAAGCAUUUCUAGGAAACGAAAAGCAGCUCGAGCACCUCCUAGGUAUCCAAAACGAGUAAGGCCAUAAAAAAUUAAGAUGAAAUUACGGGCAUAUAAUAACAGAAUGACCCGUGAGUUACGACUCUAGAGCGACUCAUUGAACCCGCUGAUAUGCCCGAGCCCCCAGCUAAAAACGACAUAAAUAUGGAACCAGAGGUUCGCAAAACUUGUGCAAUAUCUCCAAGCCGCCUAAAAAGACGUACGAAGUACUCUUGUUGCAAAUGCAACAAAUCUAGGUAUGUGCCUUACGUGCGCCUUCAGAUAUGCAGUGCAAAUUGGGCCAUGAAAUGUGCCAAGUCUGACUGUUGUCAUUUUUUUAAUGUUUUUAUUUAGAGGUGAUUUUAUGUUUUCAGUAUGUUAAUUAGUUCAAGAAGUAAGCGCUAAUAAUGUUUUUUUUGUUAGAUUUUUCAUAAUUAUAUGAAAUAUGGAGACUAAUCAAUGUUCCUAAAAUUUAGCGUUAAGAUUUUGUGAUCUCUUUAUUAAAGUCUGUUAAUUCUCAAAAUAAAGCUGGUAUUAUUUCCAUUAUUCCUUAACUAAUUACCUUUAAUAAGUGUUCACGCAAUAAGAAACCUAAAAAAAGUAGCAUCUAAAUUGUAUUAUUAUAAACAGUAUAAAUAAAAUGUACGUCUCUCAGACACCACAUCGGUGUAAGUGCUACGUAAAAACCAGGUCGGCAGUUAAAGGUUAA